rnacentral:tRNA from 1 species
GACCCUGUGGUGUAGAGGCCCAACACGUCGCCCUUUCACGGCGAAGAACGAGGGUUCGAAUCCCUCCAGGGUCGCCA